ACCGUUAUCGUUUUGUGCACUAUGACACGCAAAACCAUGGACGCUCACGCGAUCAUCCGCAGCAGUCCACAGCUGUUAUUUAAGUUUUAAGAAUGGACAGAGAAAGAUUCUACUUCUUCUUCUACAUAUAAACAGAUAAAUUGAAUUGGGUGACUUGUCGAUUAACUAGAAGAAACCGGGGAACGAAACAUAGAAAUGAAAGUCUAGAGGAGGUCAACGACAACGCAACGAAAGUUCGAAAUGUCGAAAGUGUUUUGUUUUCAUGGAUGACGUACAUUUAUGUACCUUAAAAAGGCAACGAAUGCAUUUUCUAUGGAAGUACAUGUACUUCAAGAAGAAGAAGAAGCUAAGCAACAGAAUGCAAUUCUCUGAGGCAUUGAUUUACAUGUAUGUGCAUAUAAAGAGCAGCCGGCAAUUAUUUUAUGACCAGAGCUUGUUACCAAAUGAAAGGAAAGUGCAGUAUUAGAAUCACUGAGGUACAUGUUACGAUGUACAUGUAGGUGCAGAUCUAGAUGUCCUGUAAAAAAAAAACUGGUAUCAAAGAACUGAAAAGUAAAGAAACAGAACCAAAGAACAUUCAUUUUAGAUUAAUACAAUAUUGAACUCAAAAUUCAAUCUAGUUGUCUUUCUUAAUCAUAGAUAUAAGAAGAUGUGGUAUUAGUGCCAAUGAAACAACUCUCCAUCCAGGUCAUAAUUUGUAAAAGUAAACCAUUACAGUUCAAAGUACGGUUUUCAAAACAGAGCUCACACGAAACAGCAAGCCAUUAAGGGCCACAAAAGUGGCUGCAUACACUAGCACCUGUAAUAGCUACAUGCAGCAGUGUAGACAAUUACAUAUCAAUGUGUAUGGUGAUAUAUAUAGCAAUAGAAAUAUCACAUCCAUCAGAGGGAAAUAGAAUAUAGACAAAAGAAAUACCAAAUACAUCAGAUUAGAAUAGAUUAUCAACAAUAGAAAUGGUGUAUGUCACAGAGACAAACAUAUGAAAAUAGAAUAUAGACACUUAAAAUUUGGUAUGUCAUAGAGAUGAAAAUAGAAUAUAGACAAUAGAAUUAGGGUAUGUCAAAGAGGCAAACAUAGAAUGGAUGAUGUCAAAGAGACAAACAUAUGAAAAUAGAACAUAGA